UGGAGGGGUGUGGAGGACUGGUGUAGAGUGAGAUGGACCAGCAGGACUCCAGGCUCAACUGAUCACCAUUGCUGAAGAGGGAGGUGAGCGGAGUUCCAGGGAGGAGGACCAUCUUCCCAGGCAUGGAUGGGAAGCAAUCAAGCUGCUGAUGUGUUCUGCAGAUUUAGUGAAGGCUGACGAAGAUGACCUUUGAUUCAUUGGAAAACAAAAUUACAGCUUAUCACAGUGAUUUUCAGCCUUGUGGGAUUGAAUGUUUCAUCAGCAGGAUCUCCCUUCAUGACAGGUAACUAAUGUCGCAGCUGAACUGGAGAAAAGCCGUUUGAUUUCUACAGCCCCAGAGAAGUGCUUGUUAUAGAAACUCUACAAUGCAGUAUCAAAAGUGAAGGCGUCCAACCAACCAAUCACACCAUGGAUUCACUCCCUGAAUGGAAAGGUGGGAGAGUAUAGUGAGGAUGAAGAGAUGGACAUCUUUCCUUUUCACUUACAUAAAUACAAUACUAUUAUUAAAGUUGAUCAAA